rnacentral:lncRNA from 1 species
GGCUGCCUGCUCCGGGGGAAGCGCGCUGCUCUGCUAAAGGGGGAGGCAGAGCGCCCAGCGCCCAGUCCCCUACCCUUUCCCCUACCCCUGCUCCUGCUCGAGCUCCUACUCCUGCUCCUGCUCCCGCUCUCGUUCAGUGUUGCGCUCCCGAUCGCGCUCGGGUUCCGGCUCCAGCUCCCACUAGUGCUUGGUCUGGAGCUCCCAAUCGCUCUCCAGCUUCGGUUCCAGCUCCAGCUCCGGCUCCCGGCUCCAGCGCCGCUCCGCGCAGGGUUCCUGGUAGCUGCCCAAGCUUGCCCAGACCUUAUGAGAAAGGGGACAGACCAAGCUGGGCAUCUAAGUGUCUGCUUCCUAGACCCAAGGUAGAGGGGCGGAUCCCCUGAAGUCCUCCACACUGCAUACAGCAUCACAGAAGGCCCAAGCAGGGGGGAUCCUGUGAACAUAGAAUGUUGGAGAUGGAAAAAGACCCUUGAGAUGAUUUCUCCCAAGUCUUUCUUGUUUAAAAACGAAAUAACAAUAACUGAUACUUCUAUAUCAAUUUUACAUUUAGAAAGGUCUUGAUAUUAUCUCAUUUGAUCCUCUCAGUCAUCCUGUAAUGGAGGUACUGAAGGCAUUAUUAUGCCUAUUUUACAGAUAAAGAAUAUGGUCACAUAACUAGUGUCAAAAGUGGGAUUUGAAUUCAGGCCUUCUUGUCUCUGAGACCUUUAUCUAUUCAGCCAUACUACCUAGUGGAAAGACGGUCAGAGAAGCUAAAUGAUCUGUCUAAUUUCCUUAGGCUAGUAAGUUGUUGAUCUGGGAAUAGGACCCCGUCCUCUGGUCCUUUUAAUAUCCUUUCUUGCUUCUUAGCAAUAACCAAUUUAAAACUUGUUAUGUAUUGGUGACUGGAUGGAUGGAGUCUAGGUUAGGUACUAUCAUUGUUCUGCUGAUCUUGGAAAAGUCCUUCUCUGACCCUCAGUUUUUCUGCUCUGUGAAAUGGGGACAAGUACUCAGGUUUGCUUGAAGGUCAGAGUUUUGGCAGAGACUAUUGUUAGGGUACUAGGUGGCUGAGAGGAAUGGGAUCAUCUAAGUCCCAGCCAAGCUGCUGGUUAUCACUUUUUAGCUGCUUGAAGUUGUUUUGUGUAGGUAAGAGAGAUCUUGAGCAAUUUACUUUUCUCUAGAACUCUAGUUUCUUCAUCAAUAAACAAGGGGAUGAGACUAGGCA